GAUGAACGCUGGCGGCGUGCUUAACACAUGCAAGUCGAACGAAACACCUUAUUUGAUUUUCUUCGGAACUGAAGAUUUGGUGAUUGAGUGGCGGACGGGUGAGUAACGCGUGGGUAACCUGCCCUGUACAGGGGGAUAACAGUCAGAAAUGACUGCUAAUACCGCAUAAGACCACAGCACCGCAUGGUGCAGGGGUAAAAACUCCGGUGGUACAGGAUGGACCCGCGUCUGAUUAGCUGGUUGGUGAGGUAACGGCACACCAAGGCGACGAUCAGUAGCCGGCGAGAGAGAGUGAACGGCCACAGUGGGACUGAGACACGGCCCAAACUCCUACGGGAAGGAGCAGUGGGGAAUAUUGCACAAUGGGGGAAACCCUGAUGCAGCGACGCCGCGUGAGUGAAGAAGUAUUUCGGUAUGUAAAGCUCUAUCAGCAGGGAAGACAAUGACGGUACCUGACGAAGAAGCCCCGGCUAACUACGUG
rnacentral:rRNA from 1 species